rnacentral:rRNA from 1 species
AGCCUACGGGGGGCAGCAGUAGGGAAUUUUCGUCAAUGGGCGCAAGCCUGAACGAGCAAUGCCGCGUGAACGAGGAAGGUCUUCGGAUCGUAAAGUUCUGUUGAAGGGGAAAAAGAGCGGAGAGAGGAAAUGGUCUCCGAUUGAUAUUACCCUUCGAGGAAGUCACGGCUAACUACGUGCCAGCAGCCGCGGUAAUACGUAGGUGGCGAGCGUUAUCCGGAAUGAUUGGGCGUAAAGGGCGUGUAGGCGGGAAUGCAAGUCAGAU